CGGAGGAUGAAGCCUCACAUUUUAAUACCACCCUGCACUAAAUAAAAACCCAGCCCAAGAACAUUUGCAAGAACUGUUGUAGAAUCUCAGAAUCUGGAAUGCAGUGCUCUCCCCAGUGUUGCAUCGUCUGGACCAAGUUCCUGCUAAAGCCUUGCCCUGCCUCUGCCGAGGAAGCUUCGGAGCCAGCUAGUUCCAUUUGAGAUGUGUGCUCUGCUGGAGAGCCCUCCACAGGUGCCUUGGGUUGACCCUCUGCUAAUGUGCAGAGGGCACGCGGGGCCUCUAAGCAAGUGUUCAGAUGCCCAGCCGGUGGGGAUGAGGGUACGGGAAGGUGGGAGAAGAGACGGAAGAUGGAGAGGCGGAGCAGUGGAGGAGGCCAGAGAGGAUGGCAAGGCUAGGAGGUAAGGGACAGGGCUAGGGGUCACAGUGGGAAGAUGCCAUCUGAAAUGUGAAUGUAAGUGGGGGUGCUCACUGGCAGGGUCCGGCUGCUGUGAAGGGUGUUGAUGGCUGCCUGGGCCUCAGCGUGGGUCUGGAACUUCACAAAGGCGCAGCCUACAGGAUUCAAGAGCAAUGAGGAAAAGGGCUUCGGUUUUUGCAUCUCGACAGUGGGCUGGAUCACAUCCCCUCCGGCCACACUGCCUCCAGUCCCCACCGUGACUGGGAACCCUUUGGAAUUCUCAGAUUUUCUUCCUCCAGAGAGGCUGUCCCUCAGCUUCUCCAAGCCUCGGGGCCUGCAGGUUGGCGGGGAAUGACUGAAUCCAAAGUCUAAAGGUCCAGAACCUACCUCCUCGGCUCUCGCUGUCGGCUGGCUUGACCUGGAUCGGCCUGUUCAUCUAAAAGGGGAGAAGAGAAGGCAACUGCUGGGGACCCGCUCGGAGCUCCCCCCCACACCCCCAAGAGCCCUCCCCAGGCCGGAACCUGCAGAGAGGCUAGAGGGAGUAAACCCCAGGCCCUAAAUUGCUGAUGGGAAGAAAGGGAUGGGCCUAAUCUUGUUUAGGAUUAGGACCUGAGCGGAUUAGAGGCAGUGGAAGGCGAGGAUGUAGAGGAGGCUGCUCCUGGGGCUGGCUCCAGGCUCCGGCGAGGCCUCAGGUGACACGGCCAGGGAUAAGUGAUGCUCUCUUUGGGGGGAGAAUGGAACUGUCCAUAGGACCUGGGUUCGGAGUCAGAGCCCAACCAAAGGGCUAUUCGGCAAGAGCUCCCUCAAUUUUACAAAGUAGGAGCCACAGAGGCCACUCCAUCAAGCAGCCCCGAAGAAGACAAGACCAAGGGACACCCCACAGAUGCCCGACUUCCUUCUGACCCCUAGAGAUCAAAUCCUUGGUGUCUCCCGGCUGAGAGGGCUCUGAAGGAGGAACCGCUGUCCCGUGCUUGUGUGAGACCCUCCCCGUACUCUGAAGUCCUCCAGAGCUCUGCCUUCUCACUCCCUUUGUUCAGUCUCCCGUGGAAAUGCAGACACCCCCCAGUUCCACUCUCCAUGUUCUUGUCUGGUGAGAAGACUUAGCAAUGACUCCUGCAGGUUGACUUCCUUAACUAGGGUGGGAAGCACCUUCGGAACUGGAGGGAGGGGAAGGACUCAGUGUUUCACAUCUGAAAAUACUUUGCUAUUGCGGACUAGGACCAUCGGGGCCACACCUGGUAACCCCACCCCGCUCAUCGGAUGGUGGGGCAGUCCUAGCUCCAGCGACCAAAAAUAAAUAUUAACAAAAGAAA